rnacentral:rRNA from 1 species
UACGGAGGGUGCAAGCGUUAUCCGGAUUCACUGGGUUUAAAGGGUGUGUAGGCGGAUAUUUAAGUCAGUGGUGAAAUCUCCAGGCUCAACCUGGAAACUGCCAUUGAUACUAUUUAUCUUGAAUUCUGUUGAGGUGGGCGGAAUACAUCAUGUAGCGGUGAAAUGCUUAGAUAUGAUGUAGAACACCGAUUGCGAAGGCAGCUCACUAAACAGAUAUUGACGCUGAGGCACGAAAGCGUGGGGAUCAAACAGG